UACGAAGGGGGCUAGCGUUGUUCGGAAUUACUGGGCGUAAAGGGCGCGUAGGCGGUUAUACAAGUCAGGCGUGAAAGCCCCGGGCUCAACCUGGGAAUUGCGUUUGAGACUGUAUGGCUUGAGUUCGGGAGAGGUGAGUGGAAUUCCCAGUGUAGAGGUGAAAUUCGUAGAUAUUGGGAAGAACACCGGUGGCGAAGGCGGCUCACUGGACCGACACUGACGCUGAGGCGCGAAAGCGUGGGGAGCAAACAGG
rnacentral:rRNA from 1 species